CAUUAAAUCAGUUAUCGUUUAUUUGAUAGUACCUUACUACAUGGAUACCUGUGGUAAUUCUAGAGCUAAUACAUGCUAAAAACCCCGACUUCAGGAAGGGGUGUAUUUAUUAGAUAAAAAACCAACGCCCUUCGGGGCUCCUUGGUGAAUCAUAAUAACUUAACGAAUCGCAUGGCCUUGCGCCGGCGAUGGUUCAUUCAAAUUUCUGCCCUAUCAACUUUCGAUGGUAGGAUAGUGGCCUACCAUGGUGGCAACGGGUAACGGGGAAUUAGGGUUCGAUUCCGGAGAGGGAGCCUGAGAAACGGCUACCACAUCCAAGGAAGGCAGCAGGCGCGCAAAUUACCCAAUCCCGAUACGGGGAGGUAGUGACAAUAAAUACUGAUACGGGGCUCUUUUGGGUCUCGUAAUUGGAAUGAGAACAAUUUAAAUCCCUUAACGAGGAACAAUUGGAGGGCAAGUCUGGUGCCAGCAGCCGCGGUAAUUCCAGCUCCAAUAGCGUAUAUUAAAGUUGUUGCAGUUAAAAAGCUCGUAGUUGAACCUUGGGUCUGGCUGGCCGGUCCGCCUCACCGCGAGUACUGGUCCGGCUGGACCUUUCCUUCUGGGGAACCUCAUGGCCUUCACUGGCUGUGGGGGGAACCAGGACUUUUACUGUGAAAAAAUUAGAGUGUUCAAAGCAGGCCUUUGCUCGAAUACAUUAGCAUGGAAUAAUAGAAUAGGACGUGUGGUUCUAUUUUGUUGGUUUCUAGGACCGCCGUAAUGAUUAAUAGGGAUAGUCGGGGGCGUCAGUAUUCAGCUGUCAGAGGUGAAAUUCUUGGAUUUGCUGAAGACUAACUACUGCGAAAGCAUUCGCCAAGGAUGUUUUCAUUAAUCAGGGAACGAAAGUUAGGGGAUCGAAGACGAUCAGAUACCGUCGUAGUCUUAACCAUAAACUAUGCCGACUAGGGA
rnacentral:rRNA from 1 species